rnacentral:rRNA from 1 species
UACGGGGGGGGCAAGCGUUGUUCGGAAUUACUGGGCGUAAAGGGCGCGUAGGCGGUCUGCUAAGUUGGGUGUGAAAACUCUGGGCUUAACCCAGAGCCUGCAUUCAAUACUGACAGGCUAGAGUUCUGGAGGGGAUAGCGGAAUUCCUGGUGUAGCGGUGAAAUGCGUAGAUAUCAGGAGGAACACCGGUGGCGAAGGCGGCUAUCUGGACAGAGUCUGACGCUGAGGCGCGAAAGCUAGGGGAGCAAACAGG